UACAGAGGUCCCGAGCGUUGUUCGGAUUCACUGGGCGUAAAGGGUGCGUAGGUGGCAUAGUAAGUUUGAUGUGAAAGCUCAGGGCUUAACCCUGAAAUGGCAUUGAAUACUACUGUGCUGGAGGUUUGGAGGGGGGACUGGAAUUCUUGGUGUAGCAGUGAAAUGCGUAGAUAUCAGGAGGAACACCGGUGGCGAAGGCGGGUCUCUGGGCCGAUACUGACGCUGAGGAGCGAAAGCGUGGGGAGCGAACAGG
rnacentral:rRNA from 1 species